GUCCCCAUCGUCUAACGGUUAGGACAUCGCCCUUUCAAGGCGGCGACACGAGUUCGAAUCUCGUUGGGGGCACCA
rnacentral:tRNA from 2 species